GACGAACGCUGGCGGCGUGCUUAACACAUGCAAGUCGAACGGAAAGGCCCUGCUUGCAGGGUACUCGAGUGGCGAACGGGUGAGUAACACGUGGGUGAUCUGCCCUGCACUUCGGGAUAAGCCUGGGCAACUGGGUCUAAUACCGGAUAGGAGCCAUUUUUAGUGUGAUGGUUGGAAAGUUUUUUCGGUGUAGGAUGAGCUCGCGGCCUAUCGGCUUGUUGGUGGGGUAAUGGCCUACCAAGGCGGCGACGGGUAGCCGGCCUGAGAGGGUGGACGGCCACAUUGGGACUGAGGGACGGCCCAGACUCCUACGGGAGGCAGAAGUGGGGAAGAUUGCACAAUGGGCGCAGGCCUGAUGCAGCGACGCCGCGUGGGGGAUGACGGCCUUCGGGUUGUAAACUCCUUUCGCUAGGGACGAAGCUUUUUGUGACGGUACCUAGAUAAGAAGCACCGGCUAACUACGUG
rnacentral:rRNA from 1 species